rnacentral:rRNA from 1 species
GAUGAACGCUGGCGGCGUGCUUAACACAUGCAAGUCGAACGGAAAGGCCCAAGCUUGCUUGGGUACUCGAGUGGCGAACGGGUGAGUAACACGUGGGUGAUCUGCCCUGCACUUCGGGAUAAGCCUGGGAAACUGGGUCUAAUACCGGAUAGGACCACAUUUUGGAUGGUGUGGUGGAAAGUUUUUCGGUGUGGGAUGAGCUCGCGGCCUAUCAGCUUGUUGGUGGGGUAAUGGCCUACCAAGGCGUCGACGGGUAGCCGGCCUGAGAGGGUGUACGGCCACAUUGGGACUGAGAUACGGCCCAGACUCCUACGGGAGGCAGCAGUGGGGAAUAUUGCACAAUGGGCGCAAGCCUGAUGCAGCGACGCCGCGUGGGGGAUGACGGCCUUCGGGUUGUAAACUCCUUUCGCUAGGGACGAAGCGUUAUGUGACGGUACCUGGAGAAGAAGCACCGGCUAACUACG